GAGUUGAUGAUGAUAAUUUACCUUAUCUUAGAGGAUUUCAGUGAGAUCAAUGAUCUAUGAUCUGAUUGUUACACACACUGAAGCUC
rfam:Spinacia oleracea cultivar SynViroflay scaffold13057.con0004.1, whole genome shotgun sequence.